rnacentral:rRNA from 1 species
GAGUGGCGGACGGGUGAGUAAUGUCUGGGAAACUGCCUGAUGGCGGGGGAUAACUCCUGUAAACGGUAGCUAAUACCGCAUACCAUCGGAUGUGCCCAGAUGGGAUUAGCUAGUAGGUGGGGUAAAGGCUCACCUAGGCGACGAUCCCUAGCUGGUCUGAGAGGAUGCCAAUCCAAACUGGAAAGGAGAAAGGGUACAGACUCAUACGGGAGGAAGCAGUGGGUAAGAUUGGACAAUGGGUGCAAGCUGGAUGCAGUCAUGCCGUGUGUAUGAAGAAGUCCGGAGGGUUGUAAAGGACGUUCAGCGGGGAGGCGGUACCCGCAGAAGAAGAACCGGCUAACGCCGGGCCAGCAGCAGCGGUAAUUC